rnacentral:rRNA from 1 species
UGCAUAUCAAAAGCGGAGGAAAAGAAACCAACUGGGAUUGCCUUAGUAACGGCGAGUGAAGCGGCAAAAGCUCAAAUUUGAAAUCUGGUACCUUUGGUGCCCGAGUUGUAAUUUGUAGAGUACCACUUUGGGACUAUACUUUGCCUAUGUUCCUUGGAACAGGACGUCAUGGAGGGUGAGAAUCCCGUGUGGCGAGGGUGUUAGUUCUUUGUAAAGGGUGCUCGAAGAGUCGAGUUGUUUGGGAAUGCAGCUCUAAGUGGGUGGUAAAUUCCAUCUAAAGCUAAAUACAGGCGAGAGACCGAUAGCGAACAAGUACAGUGAUGGAAAGAUGAAAAGAACUUUGAAAAGAGAGUGAAAAAGUACGUGAAAUUGUUGAAAGGGAAGGGCAUUUGAUCAGACAUGGUGUUUUGCGCCCCUCGCUCCUUGUGGGUGGGGGACUCUCGCAGCUCACUGGGCCAGCAUCAGUUUUUGCGGCAGGACAAAACCUUGGGAAUGUAGCUGUGCGCCUCGGUGUACAGUGUUAUAGCUCUUGGGAAUACUGCCAGCGGGGACUGAGGACUGCGAUACUUGUUAUCUAGGAUGCUGGCAUAAUGGUUAUAUGCCGCCCGUCUUGAAACACGGACCAA